UACGUAGGGGGCAAGCGUUGUCCGGAUUCACUGGGCGUAAAGCGCGCGCAGGCGGCGAUCUGCGUCUGGGGUGAAAGCCCGGAGCUCAACUCCGGGAUUGCCUUGGAUACGGGGUCGCUUGAGGGUCGGAGAGGCAAGGGGAAUUCCACGUGUAGCGGUGAAAUGCGUAGAGAUGUGGAGGAACACCUGUGGCGAAGGCGCCUUGCUGGCCGAUUCCUGACGCUGAGGCGCGAAAGCGUGGGGAG
rnacentral:rRNA from 1 species